rnacentral:rRNA from 1 species
UACGGAGGGGGCUAGCGUUGUUCGGAAUUACUGGGCGUAAAGCGCGCGUAGGCGGCUUUGUAAGUUAGAGGUGAAAGCCCGGAGCUCAACUCCGGAAUUGCCUUUAAGACUGCAUCGCUAGAAUCAUGGAGAGGUGAGUGGAAUUCCGAGUGUAGAGGUGAAAUUCGUAGAUAUUCGGAAGAACACCAGUGGCGAAGGCGACUUACUGGACACAUAUUGACGCUGAGGUGCGAAAGCGUGGGGGAGCAAACAGG